ensembl:lncRNA
CCGCCGGCCCAGUCUCCGAGCCCCAGUUGCAAACACUACCCGACAGGAAGCUUGCAAAUAGAAACCUUGCACCCCGCGCCUACAUUCGGUUGGGGCUGCUCUAGCACUGGCAGGGCUGCCGGCGGCCGUUUCCCUCCUUUCGCUACGGGCCAGGUGCGGCCGGGCAGCCCGCAGACAACUUUAUUCACUCAAGACACCGGCUCGGGCCGUGGCGGUCUCGCGGUGCAGGUUGCGGGCUGCAGGCGGUCCGCGAGAACUCUGCCACCUGGGACGCCUGGCUCCUCGCAGGUGGCAUCUCCAGGCCGACGGAGACGGCCAGGGACGGGGCUCGCCUUCUUCCUGGGUCGGGAUGCCUGAUGCAAGAUGGCUGUAUUUUGUAAGCUUCUAAAACAAUAUAUGGAAUACACAGCUAACUGCCCGAGGGCCUGAAUACCAGCCUUGGCAGCUGUUCUACCAGCCAGUUCGGCUUUUUAACCAUUUCAGUUUUAGGUAGAAUUGCCAAAUGCCGUAUAGUCAAAUGUCAGCAGCUUCUGAAUAGUUGGAUGCGGCGGAGAUGCAGGUUCAAUGCCUGGGUGGAGGAGAUCCCUGAAGAAGAGAAUGGCUACCCACUCCAGUAUUCUUGCCUGAAGAAUUCUAUGGACAGAGGAGCUUGCUGGGCUACAGUCCACGGGAUCACAGAGUCAGACACGACUGAGCAACACUACUAUGUCCAUUAAAUCUCUUAUCAUCUAUGAUUCUCUCUAGUUGCACUUUGUUGAAAAGUAUGUCUUGAGGCUUUGGAUCCCAGUCCUCUUUCCUUAAUUGUCCCUCCUUCAGUCUUGCCCAGUAAAUGGCAUUAUGAUUUACUUAAUUGUUC